rnacentral:rRNA from 1 species
UACGUAGGUGGUAAGCGUUGUUCGGAAUUACUGGGCGUAAAGGGCUCGUAGGCGGCCAACUAAGUCAGACGUGAAAUCCCUCAGCUUAACUGGGGAACUGCGUCUGAUACUGGAUGGCUUGGAUUCGGGAGAGGAAUGCGGAAUUCCAGGUGUAGCGGUGAAAUGCGUAGAUAUCUGGAGGAACACCGGUGGCGAAGGCGGCAUUCUGGACCGACAUUGACGCUGAGGAGCGAAAGCCAGGGGAGCAAACGGG